rnacentral:rRNA from 1 species
AGAUUGAACGCUAGCGGGAUGCUUUACACAUGCAAGUCGAACGGCAGCGCGGACUUCGGUCUGGCGGCGAGUGGCGAACGGGUGAGUAAUAUAUCGGAACGUGCCCAGUAGCGGGGGAUAACUACGCGAAAGCGUGGCUAAUACCGCAUACGCCCUACGGGGGAAAGGGGGGAUUCUUCGGAACCUCUCACUAUUGGAGCGGCCGAUAUCAGAUUAGCUAGUUGGUGAGGUAAAGGCUCACCAAGGCGACGAUCUGUAGCUGGUUUGAGAGGACGACCAGCCACACUGGGACUGAGACACGGCCCAGACCUCCGUACGGGAGGCAGCAGUGGGGUAAUUUGGACAAGUGGGGGAAACCCUG